CAGUCCAUGCACUUGACAGCCUUGCACUGCCUCUGCUUCCCCACCAAGGAAAAGCCCUCAAGAGCCUGCACAGCAAGACUGCAGCCAGGACCAUGACGUCAGUGCCACCCAGAAGCUGCUUGUCCUUCCAGAUCCUUCCAUGGGGAACAGAGGCUUUCAUUCCUCCAAUAGAGAUGCUGCUGAUGUGUGAACCAGAGCUUUGCAGCCUCUGUGUCCACCGGAUCAAGAGGUGUAUGAACAGACGGAUCCACGCAGGCCUCGGGCACGUGGACGGGGCUCAGAGCCACACUCCCCACCCUGACCAACCAGCCCCCUCUAGCCUUGGGUGGUGGUCCCAGCGACAGUACAAACGUCACCGUUCCCUAUGACGGACAGGAAGUGAAGAUAGUCAGAGGGCAGCAGAUCGUCCUGGUGAGCAGAUUUUCAACAGCGUGAGUUCUGCCAGAGGCACCCCACCCCCUCAGCUUUUUAGCCAGCCCGUCACUACCUGCAGGAGGUGGGGCCAGGGCUUUGGUGAAGAAAGAUUUGCAUAAAUCCAGCCAUCCCAGAAUCCUCCCUGGUCAAUUUUUUUUUUCCCCAUUCUUAUCCAAGAAGAGUCCAAGACUCUUAUCCAAGAGAAGAGUCUGCCUCAGCCAGCCUCAUGUCCUUCCUCUUCUCUGGCCCUGUGCUCGGAAUUCGGGAGCAGAUGUGGCAGCCUGUGACUGUGCCCUUUAGCCCUGGUGGCGGGGGACACCUCCCGUUACCAUUCAGCAGGAAGACUCCAGAACUGACAACCAGGCUUACCUCUGGCAGUUCCAUCAACAAAGUCCUCCUCCCCCCACAUUGAAGGGAUUAUUUUAAAAAUGAGAAUGUGAUAGAUUUUCUAAGCCAGAGCUAUAUUGCUUUCCCCCAAAGCAGUUUUCAAACAUUUCAAAAAUGUUAGCUAGUGAGUCCAAAAGCUCCUUUUAUUCUUUCUGUUUUCUCCCACUCUGAAAAUACACACAUGUAGAUCUGUGUACACAGCACACUUGAAGGCAUAUUUUCCAGGAUGUAACUAACAAAGGGAAGAAUGUGGUGGUGGUUGGAAUUCUGGCGCUUGCAAGACAUGGGUCUGUGCUCUGCAUUUCAGUACAGAGGUGAUCACACUGUUAUGGGCAGAGCAUCUGCUCCCUUCACCUGCAGCCUCCACCCUCCUCUUCCUCUGCUCCCUGACCUGACCCGAGAGGCGUUUGAACUAACACGAUCAAGGUGUCGGGACCAGUAUCCCACCCUCCCGCCACCGUGCUUGGCAAGUUCCCAGGGCCUGCAAGUCACACACGGGCCAAGUCGUGGCCUCUUUCCAACAAAAUGGGUACAUGUCCAUGUCAGGCCCAUCUUGCUGCCCUUCAUUAUAACUGUGGUCAAGGAGAAAGGAGUAAGUAGGCUUGGGUACUACAAGGCAAAGCAAUAUUCGAAAGUUUAACAUAUGCUUAUUUUCUAAAAUGUAAGACCUCCAUGGUGAUUGGGGGACUUGGGUGCCCGUCUUCAAUUCUUGUGCCGCAAAGGCCGGGAGGAAACCAUCCCUUUCCCAGGUGCUCUGACCUUGGCCUUGGGAUGCGUGGGCCCACUCCCCAUGUACAGAGGCGGCAUCCUUUGCACAUGGCAGGGCUGUGCGGAGAAACGGGCCCCUGGUGCCUGGGACAUUCCUUCACAGAGGCUCUCCUAGCAACAUGGCGACGCCAGCCAACCCAACAAUGACCUUUUGUCUCUAGCUCUCCUCAGCUCUGUGGCCAUUAGUCUCACCAGAAAACUCAAAGGAUAUUUUGCAAGAGAAGAGUGGUUGCGAGCUAAAGCUCUGAAUCAGUUGCUUUCCUCUGCUUUCUGCAAAUAUCAAACUGGGCUUGCGCCAGAUGAUCGCUUUAGGAGCAGGAAGUACCUAGAGAGGUGCCCUGGAUGGGGGAAAGCUGAGUCUGGAUGGCCCGCGUCCUGGCUCUGGGUAGGGAAGCCCCUCUGUACCACAUCCCUGAACUGUCUGGACCUUAGUGUCCUCAUCUUCCAAAUGAAGCACUAAUUCUCAACAGCGCAGAGUCCUUGCUAACAGUCCAGAUUCCCGAGCCAACAGUAGUUCCCCUGCUGACUCAGAAUCUCUGGGACUGAGCUCUGCCAACGUGACUUUUCACCAAAGGCCAAUAUAGACCUUGCUGAACAAUUGUAAAAACGCUUAGGUAAUUAACUUUCUAAUUUUGUUUACUUGGCACGAGAGGACCAACACACACACACUCAGGAUUGGUAUGCUACAUGCAUUGUGGGGAAUGUGUUUUUUUCUCGGAUAGAUUUUGCAAAGGACAGAACCAGCCCAUUUUCUUUGCUGUUCCUGGUUAGUUUUCUUCUAUACAAGAAUGUAAAUCAUGCCUCUCUAUCGGCAAAUCACUUUGGACUGUGUGCUUCCAAUAGAUACACUUUAAAAAUUUUGAUAUAUCUGUAUUUACUUAUAUUUUGCUUUAGUAUGAACAUGUUACGACUGUGUUCCUAAUGUUAAAAAAAUAAAUGUUU
rnacentral:lncRNA from 1 species